rnacentral:rRNA from 1 species
GACGAACGCUGGCGGCGUGCCUAAUACAUGCAAGUGGGACGCAAGGGAACACACUGUGCUUGCACACCGUGUUUUCUUGAGUCGCGAACGGGUGAGUAACGCGUAGGUAACCUGCCUAUUAGCGGGGGAUAACUAUUGGAAACGAUAGCUAAUACCGCAUAAUAUUAAUUAUUGCAUGAUAAUUGAUUGAAAGAUGCAAGCGCAUCACUAGUAGAUGGACCUGCGUUGUAUUAGCUAGUUGGUAAGGUAAGAGCUUACCAAGGCGACGAUACAUAGCCGACCUGAGAGGGUGAUCGGCCACACUGGGACGGAGACACGGCCCAGACUCCUACGGGAGGCAGCAGUAGGGAAUCUUCGGCAAUGGACGAAAGUCUGACCGAGCAACGCCGCGUGAGUGAAGAAGGUUUUCGGAUCGUAAAGCUCUGUUGUAAGUCAAGAACGUGUGUGAGAGUGGAAAGGUUA